UUGAAUCUCAAAUCACUUCUGGGGAUAGCUGGUUUUGCUCAACAGAGAUCUGAGGAUGGAGCUGAGAGAAUCUGCAAUGUUGGAUUUUAUCCUAGGCUUGUUCUUCUUUCAUCCAGAUCUGAGUUCAACUUCCAUGCAAGGUAAAUUUUGUGAUCUAUGAUUCUUAUUUGGUUUGGAAAUAGUUGCUUACACUCCACUAUGCAUUACCACAAAUUCUAUGAUCAAAAGGAAUGCAACAAAUACUCUUCAUCUGUAGCAAAUUAGUGAACAUCUUCCCACACCUUUUUUCUUCUUCUUCUUCUUCUUCUUCUUCUUCUUCUUCUUCUUCUUCUUCUUCUUCUUCUUCUUCUUCUUUCAGGAGAACAAGUUGGGCACAUGAAAGAAAUUCAAACUUACAAAAACUAGUUGAAUUUUUUGGAAUAUCAGAAUGAUUUUUUUAGAGACAGAUCACAAUAUAUCUCUGCUUAUUGAGCAUGAUAAAAUUAGCAAAGGCAUCAGUAUAUGGAGGAAGAAGAAUGCUUUCUUAAAGAAAGAUAGAGGAAAAAUCAUAUAUAUAUAUAUAUAUAUAUAUUAGACAUUUGUAGUUAUAUCCAAUUGGUCAUAAGUAUAAUAACAUUAAAAAUCAAAUUGAUUUUAAUACCCCCUUCGAAGAAUAUUAAAAUCUUGACGAUCCAAUAAUUGAAACUGAUAACCAUGAUUACUAGUAGUUAACUUGAGUUUAUCAAACCGAUUGUCGAUGCGUAAAACAGUGAUUUAAAGUGUUCUCAAAAGAGAAGAAGAUAAAAAUAUUCUUUCAUGAAUUUCAAGACCACAAAAUAAUACUAUCCACAAUUUUGAUCGUCAAUCCAUAUGGCAAAAUUGAUCCGAUGUCGCCCAAUUGCUCGAGUGUUUUCUAUAAAUCGCUUAGGGGAGAGAGAACUUAACUUCAACCAGUGUUCAAAAAACUGCCUCCUUGUGUCCGAUAAUAGAUGUGAAUCCAAUCAACGGAAAUAGAUGUGAAUCUAUCCAGUUGGCGUGAGUUGAUUUGGUUUACCAAAUAUGGAUGGUUUUUCAAGAUCCAAAUGGGCUCCAUGUGUUUGUUGCGACUCUCAAUUAGCUUAAUUCAUUUAAAUUGGGAUUCUAAUUUUUUAAUCAAAUUUAAAAUAAGCACAAUUUAUCUAUAUGGGUAAUCGAUCCAACUUGGUAGCCUAUUGUCAUUCUAAAUAUGAGAUAAAAAUGAUGAUGAUGAUGCCGCAAUAUUAGAAUAUUUAGGUGUACAUUCACCAAGUCAAACUGUAGUCAAACUGUAAAAAGAUGUUUAGAUCGUAGAUACCAUAGACGAUACUUGCAAAUAAGAACAUAUGAAUUGCUUGUUUAGAUAACUUGCAUAAGAUCCUUCUAAUAUAUACUCCAUUCUGUAAGGAUGAGACCUUCAUGCAUCAUGAGAUACAAUUCAAGCCAUACAAGAAAUGAGGUUCCAUUUUUACCACACCAAUCAAUCUAUCUUUUUAAGGAUUUUGACAAAUAUAAAUUAUCAUGGGUGUCUGUCUAUCCUUUUACAAAUAAGGUUGUGACAUAAAUGACAACAACAUUACAAGAAUUUAAGCACAACAUUGGUAAAGAAAUGUUCAAAAUACCAAUUUACAACAUUUAAGAUUCCUUUGGUGUAAGAGAGACUGAUCCUUAGCUUUGUCCAAAUUCCAGAAGCUGAAAUGUGUUUACAUAUAAAUAAAAAUUCCGAGCAAACCUGAAGAACUUCCUAGACACAGUAGAUUAGCAACCAAGACAAAGCAGUAAGAAGGGUCAUCGUCGAGGUGCUCAUCAACUGCGAGGCGGCAUUUGGUAACCACGGAUAUGAGUCUGGCGGAGGCAUGACACAGUUGUCGCCGUUGAAGUAGAUGCGCCGUGGAAAGGCCCAUCCCUUUUCGAAAGUAAAAGUUGAUGGAUCCUUCUUGAAUAGAAGUUCCGACUGUACAUUUCCAUAAGGUCCAGCUUCCAUGAGCAAGUCAUUGUAGUACUUGACACCCCAUAGCAUUGCAGUAUCAUCUGUGACAUGAAAAGCAUUUAAGAUUAUGAUCACGGAAGAGGAAGAAAAUAGUAAGCAACAUGUACUCCAGGUUUGUAAUUCUUUUUGAGUCAAUAAGAAAGAAAUAUGCACAUAUAUGAGGUAGAUCAAUAGAGGCAAACUUAAAUCAUAAGGUGUUCUUGCAAAAUUAGAUAACAGAGUUAGAGUCAUCAUGACUAUAGGGAUAAUAUUCAUCCACUAACAGUUCCAUGAUACAAAUAAGAGGAAAAUCCAGAGUGGCCUUAGAAAAGUAAAAUUGAAUCGAAGAAACUUACUUAUUCCCCCAUAUGGUGUCAACGACUUGUAAUUGAAGCUAAAGAGUUGAGUGAGAUUGUCAAGAUUCGGAUGCUGGAUGACAAGGUUCCACUGCGUAUAAUUCAUCCGGUAGUUGAAAUUUGUUAUUGCAAUCUUCACGCGCCAGUAUUCCUUGUAGUUAAGUUUAACGUGCCAAUGCACUCUUACGGGGCACAUAUGUGAUGUACACUGGACCAGCGGUGUGAAGCUGUUUUUGCCAGGACCAUUGACCGCGGAAGCUAAAUAAGGUGAAUCUCCUCUGCCAUAGUAAACCAAGACAUCAGUAAGAGAUGAACUAAAAUUGUAAGCAAUAGAAAGAGUUUCACAUUUUAACUCACUCCACGCAGCUUCCCGGCUGAGUUGCAUUGUUCUGGCACCCACAAGUGCAUGUCGGACAGUUAACAAUCGUGUCGUUAUAGAAAGAUGAAAGUGAUACACAGCAAGUAGGUGUCUUCUGAGCAAGAAAUUGGGAAUAUGUACAUGUAACAUUCCACGUCACUGCAAUUAAAUUUCAAAAAAUAUUUUAAAGCAAGCAAUCACUACAAAGAGAGCAUGCAACAAAAUAUUUAGUUUACUAAAAAGUUUGUGAAUUUACUAUAAAAAUGAGGAAAUUCUCAAAAGAUAUUUAGUAAUUAAAAAAGAAACCAAAAAGUUCGUGAGUUUACUACAAAAUAUAAGGCAUGUGAUAGUUUUUACCAUAAGACAGGUGGAGAAAAGGAUGUUUAUUAGACUGCCAAAGUGCAAAUGUUAAAUGUAAAACGGAAACAUCAAAAGUUGCUUGUCAACAAUAUUAAAAUUAAGGAUAAAUGAAGAUUUAUACAUCAUUUAAUAAACAUUCUAUUGAUGACUUAGCCUUAAGAGAUAGAUUAUAGCAAGAAGCUUAGACAUCAUGGAUUUGUUGGUAAAAUCAGAACAAAUAAGAAAAAUAAAGAUUUAAAUAGGAUAAAAUCAGGUAAAAGUGUAGGACAUGAUGGCAGCUCUACUUCAGAUUUGAAUAUUAUAGGAUAUCGGAGGGUAGUUUGGUUAACUAGAUUAUUAACAAAAUUUUGAGUAUCAAGCAUGUACAAUGAACCAGGGAGGAACUUUAAAGACAAUUUAUAAGAACCAGACAGGCAUUCAAAAUUACUCUAAUGAUAGAGGAUUUAACUAAUGAGUCACACUGAAAAUUUGAGAAAGUGUAAUUAAAAAAAGAAUAAGAAACGAAAUGAAUAUCUUGGGAAUGUUAUUUGAUUUUAUGCCCAAAAGAUCAAGUGAUCAACCACAAAUGUUUUUUAUUUAUUGAGAUAAUUAAUAUAAAAUAUAGAGAGAAGGAAAAAGGUCUAUAUAUGGUUUACAUUGACAUAGAAAAAGGUUAAUUAUAUAGUACCUAUAGAUUUAUUAUGAUGGAUUUUAAAAAGAAAAGAGCAUCUAAGAAUUAUAUCAAUGUAAUAAAAGACAUGUAUGAUAUAGUAUUUACAAUUGCUAGGGCUAUAGGAAUUGUAUGUAUCAUAUUUCCUAUACUAUAGGGCUACAACAAGGAUUAGUCCUAAAAUCUUAUCUUCUUAUAUUGCUAAUGGACCCAUUUACUACUCAUAUAUAGGAAUAUCCCCACAAAAUAUAUUACUUGCUGAUGAUAUUGUGCCGAUUGAUGAAAGUUAUGAAGACCGAUUUGAAACUAAAAGAUUUAGUUAAGUAGGACUAAGAUUGAACAUAUAUAGUUUUGAAUGUAUUAGAAAAAGAAAAAGGGUGUGCUACAGAUAGAUGGAUAAGAAGUUUCUAUAAGUAAAAAUUUGAAGCACCUCGGAUCUAUUAUUCAAUACAAAUGAGAGAAUAACUAACACAUUAUUCAUAUAGUAAAAGCUAGAUAGUUAAAAAGUAGAUAGGAGCAUUGUGAUGGUUGUCUUAUCAUCAUGUCACUCUAAGAUUAAAAAAUAUAUUUUAUAAGAUAUGUGUAAGGUUGAUUAUGAUUUAUGGAUCAGAGUAUUGAACGAAUAAUAAAUGGCAUGCAUAUAAAAAAUUAGUUUACCUGAGAUGAAAUCUUGAGAUGAACAUAUGGAAUUACAAAAAAAAGAAUUAAACAAAUAUUUUUAUUUGGAAACAAUUAGGUAUUGGUUCAAUAGAGGAUCAGAAUAAAAAAACAUCUAAAAUUAUAUGAACAUAUUUCAAGAUCUAUAGAUGUUGUAGUUAAAUAAUGUUGUGGAUUGAGAUAAAUAGUGCAAGGUAGAGGAGACUUAAGAAGACUUUAAUAAAAAUAAUAAAAUAAAAUCGAAUGCUUCUAUUCUAUCUGGAUAUCAUAUUACACAAAGCUCAAUGAUGGGAAAAGACAUAUUUAACCAACCCAAAUGGUUGGGAUAUUAUGGCAUGUCCAUGUGCAAUAUAACAGUUGUAUCUAAAACCUGAAAUCCUAUCCUAUUCAAAGUUUCAAAAUACUAAUUUUUGCAGGUUAUCUUUGAUAACUUACUCAGAGCUUGGGUUGUUCUCCUUCCAUCUUGUGUAACAAAUUUAGUGGGCUUUACAAUUUUUGCUAUUCCACAUGUAUACCCAGGUCCUGGAGCCCUCAAGGUGAAGUUUUUCGGCACACGCACGGUCUUGUUGGUGGUUCCUGCUGCACCAACACUGACCUGGAAUGAACUUGCAGCAUUAG
rnacentral:lncRNA from 1 species